AGCUUGUUCCAUCCAGGCCUCUGUUCGCAAUCUCUGCAUGUAAUUGAAAUUAGGAGAUUUCUAAGAAACAAGUGUGGUUAAAAAUUGCAAUUCGGAAGAACUCUGCAUCACUCUUUAUAAUCAGAAUUUUAUUCAGCAAUAAUAGAAAGAAAAUAGAUAGUUGAAGUGAACACAGCUUUGUAAUAUUAAUCCAACAAAUGAGAAUGACACGAUGUCAACCAUGAGUGUAUUUGUGUGGUCAACACAUUGAUCUACUGGUGUCAACGUUCCCAGAUAAAGGGAGAACAGCUGGUGAUUCUUCAUACAAUCCCUACUUGGAAGGGAAGAGUGCAUUGUGGAAUCUCUUUGAAUCGCUAUGCUAAUGAGUGUGCUCCAAUACUAGAACUUUACAGAAUUUCUAUACUUCUACCUGCAAUUUAAUAGAAAAGAAUAAGGAAUAAUGUGAAUUAUCAUUAAUGAAUUACAAUGUACAAGGCUAACAAUGUCAAGGUGAUGUGUGUUGGGCAGGAGUUGUUCAUUAGUUGUUCAAGCCCCUGAAGUGCUGGUUCAGCCCCUCGCCCCCCUCCCAUCGCUGUUAAAUUGACAGUCAAGGCUCAGCCUCCAAAUCUCAUUUCAGAUUAUAUAAUUUGGUGGUAAAACUGAGAACUGGCAGCUGUGAUUACACUAGACAAGAGUUCCCCAAUAUGUAGCUUUACAGCUUUUGCAAAACUACAACUUCCAUUAUGCGCUGACAGUUUCGCAACAGCUGGAGUGCCACU